rnacentral:rRNA from 1 species
UACGUAGGGGGCAAGCGUUGUCCGGAUUUAUGGGGCGUAAAGAGCGUGUAGGCGGCCAAACAGGUCCACUGGGAAAACUCGAGGCUCAACCUCGAGAGGUCGGUGGAAACCGUCUGGCUAGAGUCCGGAAGAGGAGAGUGGAAUUCCCGGUGUAGCGGUGAAAUGCGCAGAUAUCGGGAAGAACACCCGUGGCGAAGGCGGCUCUCUGGGACGGUACUGACGCUGAGACGCGAAAGCGUGGGGAGCGAACAGG